GAUGAACGCUGGCGGCGUGCCUAAUACAUGCAAGUCGAGCGAAGCGGGGACGGGUGAGAAACACGUGGAUAACCCCCUAUAAGACUGGGCAAAAUUCGGGAAAACGGAGCUAAACCGGAAACUUGUAGAUGGAUCCGCGCUGCAUUAGCUAGUUGGUAAGGUAACGGCUUACCAAGGCAACGAUGCAUAGCCGACCUGAGAGGGUGAUCAGCCACACUGGAACUGCGACACGGUCCAGACUCCUACGGUAGGCAGCAGUAGGGAAUCUUUCGCAAUGGGCGCAAGCCUUACGGAGCAACGCCGCGUGUGUGAUGAAGGUCUUCGGGUCGUAAAACUCUGUUAGUAGGGAAGCGGUACCUAAUCAGGAAGCCACGGCUAACUACGUGCCAGCAGCCGCGGUAAUUC
rnacentral:rRNA from 1 species